rnacentral:rRNA from 1 species
ACGAACGCUGGCGGCAUGCCUAACACAUGCAAGUCGAACGAUGCUUUCGGGCAUAGUGGCGCACGGGUGCGUAACGCGUGGGAAUCUGCCCCUUGGUUCGGAAUAACAGUUAGAAAUGACUGCUAAUACCGGAUGACGACGUAAGUCCAAAGAUUUAUCGCCGAGGGAUGAGCCCGCGUAGGAUUAGCUAGUUGGUGUGGUAAAGGCGCACCAAGGCGACGAUCCUUAGCUGGUCUGAGAGGAUGAUCAGCCACACUGGGACUGAGACACGGCCCAGACUCCUACGGGAGGCAGCAGUGGGGAAUAUUGGACAAUGGGCGAAAGCCUGAUCCAGCAAUGCCGCGUGAGUGAUGAAGGCCUUAGGGUUGUAAAGCUCUUUUACCCGGGAUGAUAAUGACAGUACCGGGAGAAUAAGCUCCGGCUAACUCCGUG